rnacentral:rRNA from 1 species
UGGGUGAUCUACUCUUUGGUGGGGAAUAACCCUGGGAAAACCGGGGCUAAUACCGCAUAAGCCUCUAUUUUCAAAGUGGAGGAAAGUGACAAAUCGACCGAAGAAGGACGCCCG